rnacentral:rRNA from 1 species
AUUUUCCGGUUGAUCCUGCCGGACCCCACUGCUAUCGGGAUAGGACUAAGACAUGCUAGUCGAGCGCUUCAGCCAACACGAAGCGCGGCAUACAGCUCAGUAACACGUGGCUAAUCUGCCCUUAGGAUAGGAACAACCCCGGGAAACUGGGGCUAAUUCCCAAUAGGCGAAGAACUCUGGAAUGAGUCUUCACCCGAAAAGAGCCUGCGUUAUGCGCGUAGGUUUCGCCUAAGGAUGAGGCCGCGACCGAUCAGGUUGUUGGUGAGGUAAUGGCUCACCAAGCCUUUUACCGGUGCGGGCCGUGAGAGCGGGAGCCCGGAGAUGGGCACUGAGACAAGGGCCCAGGCCCUACGGGGCGCAGCAGUCGCGAAAACUUUGCAAUACACGCAAGUGUGACAGGGCUAUCCCGAGUGCCAUCCGCUGAGGAAGGCUUUUACCCAGUCUAGAACGCUGGGGGAAUAAGGAGAGGGCAAGUCUGGUGUCAGCCGCCGCGGUAAUACCAGCUCUCCGAGUGGUGUGGAUGUUUAUUGGGCCUAAAGCAUCCGUAGCUGGCUAGGUUAGUCCCUUGUUAAAUCCACCGAAUUAAUCGUUGGAUCGCGGGGGAUACUGCCUGGCUAGGGAACGAGAGAGGCAGACGGUAUUUCCGGGGUAGGGGUGAAAUCCUAUAAUCCCGGGAAGACCACCAGUGGCGAAGGCUGUCUGCUAGAACGCGUCCGACGGUGAGGGAUGAAAGCUGGGGGAGCGAACCGGAUUAGAUACCCGGGUAGUCCCAGCUGUAAACGAUGCAGGCUAGGUGUUUGGACGGCCACGUGCCGUUCUAGUGCCGCAGGGAAGCUGUUAAGCCUGCCGCCUGGGGAGUACGAUCGCAAGAUUGAAACUUAAAGGAAUUGGCGGGGGAGCACCACAAGGGGUGAAGCUUGCGGUUUAAUUGGAUUCAACGCCGGAAAU